AUACUUACCUGGGUGGGGUGUAUCCGUGAUCAAGAAGGCGGAUGGCCUAGGGCAGUUGCUUCCAUUGCACUUAGGAGGUGUCCUGUCUUACCAUCUCCCCAAGUCGGAGAGUGGAUGUCAUAAUUUGUGGCAAAGGGGAUACGCGUUCGCGCGGCCCUCAC